rnacentral:rRNA from 1 species
UACGUAGGGCGCAAGCGUUAUCCGGAAUUAUUGGGCGUAAAGAGCUCGUAGGCGGUUUGUCGCGUCUGCCGUGAAAGUCCGGGGCUCAACUCCGGAUCUGCGGUGGGUACGGGCAGACUAGAGUGAUGUAGGGGAGACUGGAAUUCCAGGUGUAGCGGUGAAAUGCGUAGAUAUCUGGAGGAACACCGGUGGCGAAGGCGGGUCUCUGGGCCGAUACUGACGCUGAGGAGCGAAAGCGUGGGGAGCGAACAGG